rnacentral:rRNA from 1 species
GUAAGGAAUAUUGGUCAAUGGGCGGAAGCCUGAACCAGCCAUGCCGCGUGCAGGAAGACGGCCCUACGGGUUGUAAACUGCUUUUGUACGGGAAUAAACCUUGAUACGUGUAUCAAGCUGAAUGUACCGUAAGAAUAAGGAUCGGCUAACUCCGUGCCAGCAGCCGCGGUAAUACGGAGGAUCCGAGCGUUAUCCGGAUUUAUUGGGUUUAAAGGGUGCGUAGGCGGCUUUUUAAGUCAGGGGUGAAAGACGGCAGCUCAACUGUCGCAGUGCCUUUGAUACUGAAGAGCUUGAAUGCACUUGAAGUAGGCGGAAUGUGACAAGUAGCGGUGAAAUGCAUAGAUAUGUCACAGAACACCAAUUGCGAAGGCAGCUUACUAAAGUGUGAUUGACGCUGAGGCACGAAAGCGUGGGGAUCAAACAGG